AGCUCAGUGGUAGAGCGCAGGCUUAGCAUGCACGAGGUCUGGGUUCGAUUCCCAG
rnacentral:tRNA from 1 species